rnacentral:miRNA from 10 species
GGGAGUUUCCCAUCAAAAUACU